rnacentral:rRNA from 1 species
ACUCCUACGGGAGGCAGCAGUGGGGAAUCUUGGACAAUGGGCGCAAGCCUGAUCCAGCCAUGCCGCGUGAGUGAUGAAGGCCCUAGGGUCGUAAAGCUCUUUCGCCUGUGAUGAUAAUGACAGUAGCAGGUAAAGAAACCCCGGGCUAACUCCGUGCCAGCAGCCGCGGUAAUACGGGAGGGGGGUUAGCGUUGUUCGGAAUUACUGGGCGUAAAGCGCGCGUAGGCGGACUAUUAAGUCAGAGGUGAAAUCCCGGGGCUCAACCCCGGAACUGCCUUUGAUACUGGUAGUCUAGAGUUCGAGAGAGGUGAGUGGAAUUCCGAGUGUAGAGGUGAAAUUCGUAGAUAUU